UGUAUAUCUAUGGUCGGCACGUCUGUUAGCAUCUCUGGCUGCUGUUGAUCUUGUUUUUGGAGUAAAACACGGUGGAAGCUGAAUUAGUGAGGAUGACUCCUGCUCCUGUCAUCUCUAAGCUCCUCACACAUCUUUACCUGCACAUGAGGAAAAUCACUCCUGUAGAAUGCAGAUGUUCAGAGGGAGAUGAUGCCACAUCUGGUCCAGCUGAUGGAAGGUCUUGAAGUUCUCUGACUGGCCUCGACUGAAGAUGGUCGUCUCACUGGAUUUAAGGUUCAGAUGCUCAGUAACAAACUCCACCAAUGUGCCAACAGGGAAGCUUUAGGUUUAUUAAAUGUUGCUAUGAAGGUAUCACUGUUUUUCUUUGUGAAUGCAAUGUGCUCCAACUGAAACUUGAAUUAGAACUUAGAAGUAAAUCCUUCCAUCUGAAAGGAUUUAGUUGCAUUAAUAACCUGAUAACAUUCUAAUUUUUAUUCCAGUCUUGGUUGAAAAUAGAAUCUCUGUAUUGAUUCAGGUAAAAACUGAACUUCACAGCAUGUUGGAGCAAAACAACCAGAUGAAAACUGUGAUAGUGUUGGAUUGUCAGACCGUAAUAUUGCAGCUCAAAGCAGCUUUUCUAUCUCAGUUCAUUCUGACAUUCAGCUAUGAAUCAACACAGCAGAUGGUGAUCCAUGCUGUGGAAGUCUCACAUCUCCUGAUUUAAUGGAGCUGCUUUGCACUUUUUACACUGUUUAUUCACCAACACUUUAUUUAAUAAAAGUCCCAUCUAGUUUUUAUGAGGAAUGUGAUGUUUUAAUUUCUCUGUGAAUAACUGCAGUCUAAUGCAACAGCUGGAAUUGUAACAUCUGUCCUGAUAUUGAUCAUGAAGUAUUGAUCAGAAUACUUAUGGUCAGCAGUCAUCCCUGAAGUUUUAUAUUAAAAUCUUUACUUGUGUUGUGAACUUUGGUAAGAAGCAGAAACGUUAGCGUUGCCAUGGAUACAUGAGUGUUAAAUUCUGUCCAUGUUUCCAUUUUGGGAAAUUCAGUCCAGUUCCAGAAUGUGGAGGAAUUUAGUCUCAAUCACACACAACAAAUAUUAUCUGAAAGUCGGGUUAUUGUUGUUUAUCAGCACAAUACAAAAAGAUUAAUGUUAGAAAUAUUCCAGUUAAGACCCUAGAAUAUCAUGAUUUAUGUAAAUUUACCUCAAUAAUAUGAAUGUUCAGGUUAAGAUUGUACAGUGAUAUUUAUUGUGCAAGUUUAGCUGAUUAAAGUUUAUGACUGCACUAAAAUAUUAUUUAAAUUGACAUCAUUAUUAUAAUAUUUAGGGUCAGACCCUACAGUAUUGAGAUUAAGAAAUCAAAUAUUCUCUAAAAUGUAAAUACACUGAACUCAUUUGGAUAUAUUUAAGUGAGACUCUACAAUAUUAUUUGACACAAAUCUAUCUAAAUCAAAAUUUUAAUAAUUUUCACGCCAAACAUUUACUGGACUGAUUUAAACAUUAAAAUCAUUCCUUUCUAAUCCUCUGCUGUACGUUCAAACCUGAGGCCUUAAAUAGAAACACAGAAGUAUCUGAUUGAAGGAACUUCUGCAGAGUCCUGGUUCCAGAACAUGAUGAUAGAAUUAUGGACAAACUUUAACAAAAGCUGCCUGAGAGUUUACAGGUUUUUAUGUUGGAUUUCUUCAGUAAUUUAAUGAGAGUUAUCAGCAAAAAUCAAGUGUUUAUUUGAUGAACUUUAUUUCCUAAAACAUCCAGAAUUGGAGCUCAUAUCUUUGGCAGCUGUAAAGUUUCUGCUCCUUCAAAGUUCACAACACAAUGAAUGAAUUUCUAAAACACUCUCAGUGCUGGAGAGCGUUUGAUGCUUUACACAGACUUCUUGGUAUAUGUACAAGUAUUUUGGGUGGAAUAUACCAUUAAGCCUGAUGUUCAAGGGUUCUUCUGGGAAAAUACCAUUAAACCAACCUUUUAGGUAAAUGUUCCAGGAUGUUGGGUAGAAUAUACCAUCAGAUCAACCUUUUAGAUCUACAUUGGAAGAUUUUAAAGUAGAAUAUUACUCCAAACCAUCCUUUAGGUCUACAUUUAAGGUGGAAUACUCCUUUACACCAAGAUUUUUUGGUCUACAUUGAAGGAUUUUAGGUGGAAUAUUCCUUUGAACGAACUUUUUAAGUUUAUGUUAAAGGAUGUUGGGUGGAAUAUACCAUCAGACCAACCUCCAAGGUCUACAGUAGUGAUUUUUAGGUGGAAUAUCCCAUUAAACUCACCUUUUAGGUCUAUAUUGGAGGAUUUUAGGUGGAAUGUUCUUCCAAACCGUCUUUUAGUCUACAUUUAAGGAUGUUUAGGAUGGUAUAUUCUUCCGAACCAACUUCUCAGGUCUACAUUUCAGGUGGAAUAUUCCUCCAUACUAACUUUUUUGGUCUACAUUGAAGGAUUUUUUCUAAACCACCCUUUCGGGUCUAUAUUUGAGGUUUUAGGUGGAAUAUUCCUUUUAACCAGCCCCUCAGGUCUCUUUGAGGAUUUUGGAUGGAAUACUCGGUUAAACCAACAUUUUAGGUGCAUGUCCAAGGAUUUUUGGUGGAAUGUUCCUUUAAGGUGGAUGUUUGAGGACCUCGUAGGUGGAAUACUUCCUGAAACCAACCUUUUAGGUCAACAUUCAAAGAUUUAAGGUGGAAUAUUCCUUUAAAGCAAUUUCAUGUUUUGAUCAUUAUCAAGUGAGAAACCUCAAUCCAGACUCCUCAUAAUGACGUUUGAGAUUUAUGCUGCUGUUAUUUGUUUAGUCCAGACUAAAUGACAGAAAUCCACAACUGUAAUUUUAUUUCAGGACUCUGUUAUUAAAUGUCAAAACAAUGAAUGUGACUCUAAAAACUCAACAGCUUUACAAACUCUAAGAUUAAACUUUCCACAAGGAUCCAAAACAAGUUGGACUUCUACAUGAGAGCUUUAAUUAUUCUUCAUCUACUUCCUGAAAAGUUUGGUCAAUGAAAAAGACAAAAACUAGUAUUUUCAGCUGAACUAAAGACAGACUUUGAUUUUUCUGCUCACAUGUGUUGUUGUAAACUUACUCUUUCAAAUAAAUAGCCUCCUAACCCCCUGUAAACCAGCGUUUGAACUGUUUUUGUGUUGCUCCUCGGCGACCCUAGACAGCAGGAUCGUAAUGUUUUUUUGAGCAACACACCAUACUAUGACGUUUUUACAAUGAUGGUUCUACUAUGGAACCAGUUUGACAUGUUCAGGCGUUCUUUGUGUGAAAACCCAGAGAUUUCAGGUAUCAGAAGGUGGUUUUCAACUUUCUUUGUUAACUUUCUGCCUCAACUUUAAACUAAAUUUCCUUGACUAACCCAGCCCUCUGGACUUCCAGUAAGCUGUGUUCCUAUUGGCUGUCCAGGUGGCUGCUUGGUGUUAUCAGGAACACCUGAGCAACUUGGUGUUAUCAGGAACACCUGAGCAGCUCAGUGUCUUCCUGCUUUAUGUGGCUGCAGUCAAACAUUUCCUCUCCUUCUGUUCACCACUGAGCUGGGUUUGGCUCCGUUGCUUAGUUUGUUCUUUAGACGUUGGCUUGCAGCUUCCAGCAGUAAAAUCGUCUUUAAUGUGUUUCUUGGUGUGUUUUAGGGCUUUGUACUGGAUAGUUGUCUUGGUAAAUGUGGUUCUUUAGCCACAGUUAGCACAUGGUGCUAAUGUGUGCAGUGAUUAGUGGAUUUGGUACAGCUGAGUUGUGUCUUUAUCUUGGCUGUAGUGAGUCUUCAGAGGUUUUUGGUCAGACACAUUCUGUAUUCUUGUUUGAGAACCAACGUUGGUUGUCCAGAAGGUAAGGGUUCCUGUCCUGAUUCUCUGUUCUCAGAGGUUCUCUGGUAGGCUGCAGGAGACUUUAGCGUUUGGGUUGUGUUAGUUUGGUUUUUGUAUGGUUUCAUUUGGACGACUAUCUUGAGGCCCCUUCAUGUGGUUUAGUGAGGUUUUCUGGAACAGUUCUACAAAGCAACCUGCAGCAGAAGAGACGAGAGUUUUCAGGAAGUUCUGGAGACCAGACUUUAGAGCAGCAGAAACAUUUGUCAGCAGUUUGAGCAGGAGAAGGUGAGCUUCAGAUUAGAAAUGAGACAGAAACCUUCUUGACCCAUGUGGUGAGGUCCUGUACCAAGAGUUUGAGCAGGUUGUGAAGAGUCUGUAGUUCUUUGGUCUGAAAGCACAAGAAGAGUCGACUCAUUGAAGGAGAAAACAGGAGAUAUUGUUGGUUCUUCUGUCGCUCUGCAGUUUCCAGUUUCCUUAGACUGAAUAUCAAGUUUAUAUUUUAAAUGAUUUCCCAUGUGAGCCCAAGAAGACUUCAAUAAACUCCAUCCAUCCCCUGGACACAA